AGAGAGAGAGAGAGAGAGAGAGAGAGAGAGAGAGAGAGAGAAAAAGAAAGAGUGGGCAGCCACUCUGGUGCACUCUGGUGGUUCUUGCAACAGCGUCACUGUUGCUUGAUCUCCAACAGUCCAGCUGUGGCAUUGUGGCUCAUGCAAGAUUCAGCAAAAACACAGCAAACUACUCAAAUCCCAGUGGACGGAUUUAAAUGGACAAGGCGUCAUUUUUUUCUCAAAAAGGUUUUUUCACUGCAUGUUAAUGUUUCCUGGAUUCAUGAAAGUGUUGCAACUCCGUGAACUAACAUUGCUUCGGCUUUGUGGGCAAUUUAGAUACAUCUUUUUGGAGAACAUGUUGUUGUUGCCUACACUUCUACAAACAAUCACGUCUUUGGAAACAUGGAAAACCACUACUGCCUUUUGAGCACUGCCAAACAAGACUCCCAAGGCGUGAAAUGUAAGCAGUAACUGCAAAGUAAAGCUUUUUAUUUUGAGCAGAUUUAUGAUGCUUGUAAGAAGUGCAGAUUAUUUAGUUUUAACUUUGACGUGAAAAAUACAUCUUUAACGUCUUGUGACUGAGUUGAGCCAGUGAAUAAUGGAUGGCAACCUGAGCACUUCAUUAUCCAAUGUGACCAAAGAAACAGUACCCUACCACGAUGCGGCGGGACCCUGGAGCCUCAUCAUACUGGUCAUCAUCAUACUGAUCAUAGUGGUGGGAAACCUGCUGGUCAUCAUCGCCGUAGCUCGUACUUCACAGCUACAGACAACGACAAACAUUUUCAUUAUGUCCCUGGCAUGUGCGGAUCUCAUCAUGGGGUUCUUCGUGGUGCCUCUGGGGGCCACCAUUGUGGUGACUGGUAACUGGCAGCUCAGUAACACAUUCUGUGACUUCUGGACUUCUGUGGACGUCCUGUGUGUGACAGCAAGCAUCGAGACACUCUGUGUCAUAGCAGUGGAUCGGUAUAUAGCCAUUACGAGGCCCCUCCGACACAAGGUUCUACUCAAUAAGUGGCGUGCCAGGGUAAUAGUUUGUUUAGUGUGGGUUGUGUCCGCCUUAAUUUCCUUUGUACCAAUUAUGAUAGGGCUUUGGCGUGAUGAUAAUGAUGAGGUGAAGGUAUGCUACGAUACCCCUGAAUGCUGUGACUUUGUGACCAACUGGGCCUUUGCUAUUAUAUCCUCUACCGUGUCUUUUUACAUUCCACUGCUCAUAAUGAUAUUUGUGUACGCAAAAGUCUUUCUAAUAGCCACACGGCAGGUCCAGCUCAUAGAUAAGAAUCGCAUACGUUUUCAGAAUGAGUGUCCAACAGCGCAGAUGCAAGUUGGUCCCCACAUCAACAAUAUCCUGCCACCGGCGUGUGCAGCCUCCAGCAACUGCAACAGCACAGUGCGGAGAAAGAGCGCCAAGCGGAGGCCGUCACGGCUAAUGCUCGUCAAAGAGCAGAAGGCCCUCAAGACUUUGGGUAUCAUCAUGGGGACCUUCACUGUGUGCUGGCUGCCAUUCUUUGUUGCCAACAUCAUCAACGCAUUUAACAGAAAAGUUCCCCCAGAGAAGAUCUUUCGACUGUUGAACUGGCUGGGUUACAUUAACUCCGGCCUCAAUCCUAUCAUCUACUGCAGGAGUCCAGAGUUUCGCACUGCGUUCAAGAACCUGCUGGGCUGUCCGUGGCUGUCCACCCUGUGGCUUAAUACUUUCUAUAAAGAGCUGCGGACUCGCUGCUCCUGCUUUCUAUGGCAGGCUGAGUCAGGCACAGCUGGCUCUUUCCAAAAGUCUCCAACCAGUAGGACUGAGGGCAGCGAGAGUCUGGCCAGUACUCAGGGAAGCAACAAAAGUGAGGAGGCUUCCCCUGGUCCUCUGCAGUCCAACGGCAGCACACAGUUCAGUGACUUAUCAGAACCAGAAACCGAAUUUGGAAUUUCACAGACAUAAUCAAUGAGGCUGUAAAACGGGAGACAUUUAGGAGCAUAUAAAAGUCUUCCUUAAAAGGAGCCCGGCGUGUUCUGUAGUAAAUCACCCCAAGGGGAAGGCUCAGCGGACUCACCCUGCGCUUUGAGCAUGAUUACAAACGUAAGUGAGACCAGCCGUUCAGGAAUGACUCUGGUGGUGCCACGGCUCGAAGACAGGUUUGAUGAAGGAAUAUGACAAACGGUUCGAGGCAGAGUCUGGAGUGCUGAAGUGCUUCACGCUGCAGGAAAAGGAUGGAUGAACUGUAAAAUGUCAGGCUACUGAAGCAAGCCGUUACUGUGAUUCCUGCCAAGGCUGAGACCAAACAGCAGUGAGGACAAGCUAAUGAAGAGUACUACCACCAGCUCUGAUAAACAUAGCUGAGUGAAGCUCACCCCAAAGAGAUGACUGAAUUGACUGUAAAGAAACAUCUGAUUUGGUCUGGACAGGAACACUGUGACAGUCUCUGUGGACAGGAGAUGGACUGCUGCAACUCAGCACUUCACAGACAUUAGGUGACACCAAAGGUGAACCUCCCAGUGUCAUCUAAAUACUGUUUGCAAAAUACUCUCUGUUCCCGAAUAAGACAAUACUUAUCUGCAAGUUUUAAAUGCAUUCCAGUAAACCUUUGGACACAAUGUAUGUGUCCUGUGGUUCCAAUAAUGACAGCAUUAACUCAUUUUGUACAGUGUAUAUUAUCUGGUAAGUUAUCUAUUUAUGAUACACUGAAUCUGUAGCAAAAUGCAAACGUUGUCUAACUUAAUACAAGGUCAUAAUUCUGGCAAGACUGUCUUCACUGUCCAGUUAAGAAAGAUAAAUGUUCAUGGCACACACUCUUCAGUGUAAUAUCAGCUAAACCAAAGGGCUGUGCAUUCAAAUAUUCCAUUCUGGUGUCUGUUUUCCGACUAAAUCUUUCUGUUUUGAGCCUGGACUCUGUAUCCGCACAAUAAUAGUUAUCUUGCUUAAAUCCCCUUGUCUAUGUUAAAUUAAUCCACGGCUAAGGAAAAUGGUAAUUUCUCAUUCGCUGGCUGUUAAAAUCGUAUAUCAGGAAACUCAAACAUAAUUCCUGUUGACAGUUGACCAUCAGUAUAAAUCAUUGUGCAAGGUACAGUAUUAUAAACUGCAGGUAACCAUAGCACAACAUUUCUGCUAGAUGCUAUGUUAUCACUAAACUCCUUACCCUUUUUCCUUUGGUAAGCUGCCAUGGUAUAAGAUCAAUAACUAAAUCAAUAACUGAAAUGUCCAAAUAUAAAAAAAUAAUGGACCUCAGCCAUUAUUUUAUUAUAUCAGGACACACUGUUGUGUGUUAUCACUUACAUAACAUCAUCUGUUGCAUUGAGAAAUAAAAUUUUAUAAAACUGUG